AGUGGCGACGGGGCUUAGCGAAGGACGGAGGGUGAAGUGGCGACGGGGCUUAACGAAGGACGGAGGGUGAAGUGGCGACUUACUAACCAUGAGGUUGAUUUGCGUAAAGCUUUGCUAGCAAGAAGCCUUUCGGGUAGAAGACAAACCAGGCGUGUGUCCUAAUUAGCUCCAUGUGUGGUUAGCUUUCAGAGUGCACCUGAGGAGUAAGUCAACUCCAGAACUUGGCAGGCAGCCCAGUGAACAGGACCUGACGCUUUGUGGGGAUCACACUACAAACCGACAGACAAUUCAUGUGGCAGUCCUUAACCAGAUGUCAUACUGUGGCCAGACCAUCAGCAUUCUUGUGGACAGGCACAGAUGCAGGCAAG